rnacentral:rRNA from 1 species
UGGUUGAUUCCGUUAACGAACGAGAUCUUGACCCUUCAAUGACGGUUGGAUCGACUUGUAGCUCAUUGCUCUUUGGACUCUGUUCACUGGCAUUGAAUGAGAUCUAAACGCGUACUCAAGGGCAACAAGCGAGCCAGUAACA